GAGUUUGAUCAUGGCUCAGGACGAACGCUGGCGGCGUGCUUAACACAUGCAAGUCGAGCGGUGACGCCCCUUCGGGGGCUGAUCAGCGGCGAACGGGUGAGUAACACGUGAGCAACCUGCCCCUGACACUGGGAUAAGCCCGGGAAACUGGGUCUAAUACCGGAUACGACCGCGACAGGCAUCUGUCGAGGUGGAAAGGAUUCUGGUCAGGGAUGGGCUCGCGGCCUAUCAGCUUGUUGGUGGGGUAACGGCCCACCAAGGCGACGACGGGUAGCCGGCCUGAGAGGGCGACCGGCCACACUGGGACUGAGACACGGCCCAGACUCCUACGGGAGGCAGCAGUGGGGAAUAUUGCGCAAUGGGCGAAAGCCUGACGCAGCAACGCCGCGUGGGGGAUGAAGGCCUUCGGGUUGUAAACCCCUUUCAGCAGGGAAGAAGCGAAAGUGACGGUACCUGCAGAAGAAGCACCGGCUAACUACGUGCCAGCAGCCGCGGUAAUACGUAGGGUGCAAGCGUUGUCCGGAAUUAUUGGGCGUAAAGAGCUCGUAGGCGGUUUGUCGCGUCUGCUGUGAAAGUUCGGGGCUCA
rnacentral:rRNA from 1 species